UAAAGNAUUGGCGGGGGAGCACCCCAAGGGGUGGAGCCUGCGGUCAAUUGGAGUCAACGCCAGAAAUCUUACCCGGAGAGACAGCAGAAUGAAGGUCAAGCUGAAGACUUUACCAGACAAGCUGAGAGGUGGUGCAUGGCUGUCGCCAGCUCGUGCCGUGAGAUGUCCUGUUAAGUCAGGUAACGAGCGAGAUCCCUGCCACUAGUUGCUAUCAUUAUUCUCAGGAAUAGUGGGGCGAAUUAGUGGGACUGCCGUUGUUAAAACGGAGGAAGGAAGGGGCUACGGCAGGUCAGUAUGCCCCGAAACUCUGGGGCCACACGCGGGCUGCAAUGGUAGCGACAAUGAGUUCCAAACUCGAAAGAGAGCGGCAAUCCCUAAACGCUACCACAGUUAUGACUGAGGGCUGUAACUCGCCCUCACGAAUAUGGAAUCCCUAGUAACCGCGUGUCAUUACCGCGCGGUGAAUACGUCCCUGCUCCUUGCACACACCGCCA
rnacentral:rRNA from 1 species